rnacentral:rRNA from 1 species
UACGGGGGGGGCAAGCGUUGUUCGGAAUUACUGGGCGUAAAGGGCUCGUAGGCGGCCAACUAAGUCAUACGUGAAAUCCCCCGGCUUAACCGGGGAACUGCGCUCUGAUACUGGAUGGCUUGAGUUCGGGAGAGGGAUGCGGAAUUCCAGGUGUAGCGGUGAAAUGCGUAGAUAUCUGGAGGAACACCGGUGGCGAAGGCGGCGAUCCCGACGGAC